rnacentral:ncRNA from 1 species
GUAAAGGCGAGGAUGGGGAGAGUACCCCUUUCCAAUAGCCUAGAGCGAGCCGGGGAGGGUGGAAGCCCGGUGGUGAGGAAAGGCGGGAAGAUCACCCCGGAGCCGCGGGAGGAAAGGGGCUAAGGGCCUCGAGUAAUGCCCGCCGGGUGCGCCCGUGAUCGCGCGCAAAUGAGGGCCUGGAGGCUAUCUCCAGGAAGCGCGGUGGUACCGCGGAAGCCCUUGCGCUUUCGUCCGCGCC